GCUUUUGUAGAUCAAUGCCAGAUCACCUCCACUCGAUACCAGGGCCUGCAAAUGCGAAAUAUUGCGGAGGAAAUGCGGGUUCAACUCCCGCCAAAGGCA